CCAGGUCAAAGGAUGCAGGGGGCAACAGUGUUGGACAUUGGUGGUCCAAAAUUAGGGUUAAACCAUGGUUUAAAAUGAUUUAAUCCCUGAAGGUAAGCUUUAAUGAGCGGGAGUUGUUAUUGGGGUGGAUAUUUUCCCUUGUAUUAUUAACAAAGCAAUAUUAUGUGAGGAAAUACCUUGAAUUACACAGGAUCAUUUAAUUCUCUUAUGAUAAAGAUAUGUUUUGCUUUCUAC